rnacentral:rRNA from 1 species
GCCAGAGGCGGGAGGCAAUACAGAUUCGGUCCUUCUCUGAAGACUCCAGAGAAGUUGCCAUAUGAGAGGACCGAGGAGGAGAACGCGAAGAUCGUGCGAGCCGAAGUGAAGAACUUCUUUGAAGGGGUCAAAGCAAAGAAACAUCCACCUCCGGAGGAGAAGGUAGAUCUGGUGAAAGCAAAGCGCACUCUGGCUACCCUGACAAAACCACCAAAGUCUCCGCCAAAAGGCAACUAUGAGCGCGUUCUUGCAAAGGCAUAUGCCGAAGCGGAGCGGUCGGGAAGUACUGUCAGUGAUAAAAGGAUGAAAGAACGACGAGCUGGG